rnacentral:rRNA from 1 species
GGCAACCCUGACGGAGCAACGCCGCGUGAGGGAGGAAGGCCUUAGGGUUGUAAACCUCUUUUCUCUGGGAAGAAGGACUGACGGUACCAGAGGAAUAAGCUUCGGCUAACUCCGUGCCAGCACCCCCGUAAGACGGAGGAGCCAAGCGUUAUCCGGAAUUAUUGGGCGUAAAGCGUCCGCAGGCGGCUAGUUAAGUCUGUUGUUAAAGCCCACAGCUCAACUGUGGAUCGGCAAUGGAAACUGAAUAACUUGAGAGCGGUAGGGGUAGAGGGAAUUCCCGGUGUAGCGGUGAAAUGCGUAGAUAUCGGGAAGAACACCAGUGGCGAAGGCGCUCUACUGGGCCGCGACUGACGCUGAGGGACGAAAGCUAGGGGAGCG